CUCCCGCUGUCCAGGCUCCCGUCCGGGUACGGGUCUGCGCUCUCCCUUGCCGUGCAGCCGGCCAGGCUCCUGGAGGCUCCCACGGGCACACCCAGGUCUCCACACCGGGAGGCUGGGGCGGGGGGCGGGUUGCUACUGCACCUCAUGGCACUUAAUGGGCUCCUUCCAUCAGAUAAGUGCUCUGUAGGCUCUCAAAAAUGAAUCCUCUCACCGUCAACAGGCUCACACCGUUAAUGGACUUUUAUUUUUCCCUUGGCUAUUCGGCAUUGUUUACUGAGUGUUUACAGCUGGCAGAGAGCACCGAGUUGCUUUACCCGGCCAAAUCGUCCGACUCUCUCCUGGUUUUCAAUCCCCCAGAAUGGCAGGAAACAAUAAUGAAGGUGAAAGAGGUGAAAUCUGGACUCCCAAAGUGAUCAUCUUUCCCUAAAUGUCUCCAAGUGACACUUGACCAUCCAGUCUGAGCCACGCUGAUGUUUGAUUUGGAUAAUGAUGGGUUUAAUCCAACGCCUCAGCAGGUAACCACAUGGAGUCUAAUGGGAAAGAUGAAGAACUCCUUGGAAGCCAAAAGAAGGAAGAAGAAAAGUGGGAGGAAAAGGAAUGUGAAAAACAUGAUGGUGUCGGAGACAAUUUGAGAACGGCUGUGAGCUUUAGGGAUGCCUGUGUGAGUAGUCAAGUGAUGGUGAGACAGGGGAGCUGCUGUAGCAAAAACCUCUGUGAGAACAAUGAACAAAUGAGUCCUUGUUGUCACCAUGUUUCUGGAAAUAUGAGGGCCUCUGCAAAGCCUGAGAAAAGCACUGUGGAACCAAGACAUGAUGCUGGAAAAAGCCCUGAGUCCCACUGGCUGCAGACACCAGUAACUCACCUUAGGGAGGCUGCUUGAGGCAAUGGCAGCCUGAGCCACAGACACUGCUUUGAGACGUGGAACACGUGGCCAAGAGUCCACCCUUUGUGCUUGUCACAAUAACACACAGGAGAUCCAACAGAUCCCUCCCCAGCCCCCAGGCCUGGAAGGUGUGCUUCGAGCAUUACCUUCUUCUUACCCCUCUGCUGCUACAACACUGCCAGCUGGGCCAAGCUGGUUCUCAGUGGUAAAUGAGGAUGUACAUCCAUGGUGUGGAGACAGCUCUGGUGGGGGGGGGCAUCCUCAAGGGAGGUAAGCAAACACUGGGUAUUAACCACUGGCCCUGUUAGCGCAAACCACCAAAGGCUCCUGGGAGAAAGGCUAUUACAGGAGGGGAAGCCCUUGGGAGUUUAUUUUGUAAAAUGUGAGUAAAACCAGGGAUGAACAGAGACUCCAGGGCAGAGAUGGGGAGUUGUUCUGGCAUUCCAGGGGAGCCAUCCUCAGCUUCCGCACUAGCACAGCCCUUGCAGGCAGUC
rnacentral:lncRNA from 1 species